rnacentral:rRNA from 1 species
CUCAGAAACUUCAAGGAAUUGACGGGGCCGCACAAGCGGAGGAGCAUGUGGUUUAAUUCGAUGAUACGCGAGGAACCUUACCUGGGCUCGAACGUAAGAUGACUGUAGGUGAAAGCUUACAUCUCUUCGGAGCAUUUUACGAGGUGCUGCAUGGUUGUCGUCAGCUCGUGCCGUGAGGUGUCGGGUUAAGUCCCAUAACGAGCGCAACCCCUACCUUUAGUUGCCAUCAGGUUAAGCUGGGGACUCUAAAGGAACUGCCUACGCAAGUAGUGAGGAAGGCGGGGAUGACGUCAAAUCAGCACGGCCCUUACGUCCAGGGCUACACACGUGCUACAAUGGCCGAUACAGAGGGCAGCUACCUGGUGACAGGAUGCAAAUCUCCAAAGUCGGUCUCAGUUCGGAUCGGAGUCUGCAACCCGACUCCGUGAAGUUGGAUUCGCUAGUAAUCGCGCAUCAGCCAUGGCGCGGUGAAUACGUUCCCGGGCCUU